UGGAAGCAAAAUGUAGUUUUGUCGUGACUCAAUCCUACGGCAGUACAAGCGUGUCACGCCUUCAGACAGCAUCGAAAAAACACAUACAUACGUGAAAACCUUACGCGUUCUGCAUUGACUUGUUUUAAUUUCAUUGUUGUUUUGCCGUGAGACUUAUGGAACAGAAUGUACUUAGAUACGUUACAAGUAUUACGUUGCGGCAGUCAAGUGAAAUGGUAGAACGGGCAACGAAAAGAAAAAACUUGUGAAAAGAGAGAGUAAUUUAAAAGUUUAGAAUUCUGUAUUAUACUGCUAAUGAGUGAUAUACACCAAUAACAAAGUUUUGUUUUACAAAUGCACAGUUUAUUUCACUACAUUUUUUGCAGGCUCAUGAUUUUCGACUCUGUUGAUCGAACAGUAACUCGCAAUUUUUCUUAAAAAUGGUGUUAUGCCUUGUGAGUGCUAUGGUGGAUACGCUGCUAUGGACUACAGAUGUUGCGAUUAUAACACGAAUAUAACAUAUAAUCGUUCCUAAUUUAACACUAUCAAAGCAGUAUAUUGUUGUUAAGCUUUAUAAAUACUUUGCUGUUUUUAAGUGUCAAGGAAGUAGGUGAUAAGAGAUUUUUUGAAACCAAACGGAUUUAUUUACUAAUACUAGUAUAAGAGAAAUCAAUUAUUACAAAGA